AAAGUAUCACUUCCGGUCGUCGUCCUGGAUACCAGUCGUGUGCUUCCGGUCGCGAUGCGAUGCUAAGUGCGCUAAUGCUAACGAGUUUCCAGCUCAGGUUCGAGAUUGAAAUAAAGAAACAGAAACGAUGCUCGUCAGCCGACGCUGUUUGGACAGAAUCUGCUCGAUCGUUCUUCUGCUGGUGGUUCUGCUCUCGUGGGGUUUCGUCAUCUACGGCACACGAAUCGCUGCACAGUGGGAGCUCGAGAAACGAGAAAAGAUAAAGACGUAAAUCAGCAGACAUGCGCUGAGACGCUUCGACGGCCCUGGAUUCACUUCAGACGGAAAACCUUCCCAAAACCAGCAGAAACCAGACUCCAUCCAUGCCACAAAUCUCUUCAUCGUUUCUUGUAUAUAAUGUGUGAUUUUUGUCUUUUUGUUUCACUCAAUCAUGUCUGACUGUAUUUUUGACGCACUAUCAGGCCACUAGGUGGUGUAGUGCACUGGAAACAGCACGAGCACACUACACAGGGCUGGUGUGAGAGCAGAGGUCCUGGAAUGUUCCACAGGGUGCUCAUGCAGAGAUAAUGAGAGUAAGACCGGCUUCUGACCGGUUUACUGAAGUAAUGUAAUGAAAUUCACUGCUGAAAAGGCCUGAGAACAACGGAACUGAAACAAAAGAUUAUGAAGAUUAAUGUUGUUGGCAGUUCAAUAUAAAUAUCAAGGUUUUUCAUUGGUUCCAGUGUUAUUAUCGUUUCACUGAGAUACUGUUAUAGUUUUUAUACUAUAAUAUAUAUAUUAUUUAAGUCACUUAUAAAUUUUAUUGUAUAUGAUUAUGAAAUAAUAUAAUGUUUGAAUUUGUUAAAUAUUUUGUAAUUUUCUUGUGAUUUGUCUUUUUUUUAUAUAUAUAUAUACCUACAGUCAUGGCCAAAAGUAUUGGCACCCUUGGUAAAUAUGAUCAAAGAAGGCUGUGAAAAUUAAUCUGCAUUGUUAAUCCUUUUGAUCUUUUAUUUAAAAAAAAUCACAAAAAUGUAGCCUUUCAUUGGAUAAUAAGAAUUUAAAAUAUCAUCAUGAAAUAAAUGUUUUUCUCUAAUACACAUUGGCCACAAUUAACGUCACCCUUUUAUUCAAUUCUUUCUGAAACCUCCGUUUGCCAGUUUAACAGCUCUAAAUGUUCUCCUAUAAUGCCUGAUGAGGUUAGAGACACCUGACAAGAGAUCAGAGACCAUUCCUUCAUCCAGAAUCACUCCAGACCCUUUAGAUUCACAGCUUCUUCUCUUCAGGUCACUCAUGUUCUACAGGGUUCAGGUCAGAGGACUGGAAUGACCAGCAGAAGCUUGGUUUUGUGCUCAG